rnacentral:rRNA from 1 species
UUUGAUUAUAAUUUAAAGUCUGACCUGCCCUAUGAUAGAAAUAUUAAAUGGCCGCGAUAAUUUGAUCGUGCAAAGGUAGCAUAAUAAUUAGCUUUUUAAUUGGGAGCUGGAAUGAAAGGUC